GUGGAGGCAGGGGUGGUGUGGAAGACAUGGCUAGGUGAGGAGCUAUUUGUAAAGACAGACUUAGAGAUGACGAAGCAAAGAUGAGCUGGUUGGAAAGGGCACUGACUAGGGCCCCUACAGGGAGUGACAAGGCAUCUUUUGGACAAAGUCCAUUGGUGAACUCUGGAAGAAGCCAGCUGCAUCUGAUCUGUCCUCGAAUCCCUGAGGCCGAGCCUGGUGCCCAGAACAUAGAACAAGCUCGGGAUACAUGUCCCAGGCUUGAGCGGAAGGGAGGCAAGUUGAGGGUUUUGGUGAUGCAGCCUGGAGGCUGUGCACCACAGGAGGUCCACAGCAAGACUGUGAGUGACCCUGUGGGAGAGGACAGUCGUGUGCUUCCCUCCUGGGGUUGCAGAGGAAGCACAACCAAGCCAGGAGUCCGAAGAGGAGCAGCACAAAGAUGGAAUGGAAGUCAGGGAAUUUCUCAUUGCUGGGAACUAAAUGACUGAUUUAAGGAAGGCCGGAUGGUUGAGCAUCUGAGGACACAGAGGUCCUCAGCCUGAGAGAGAGACAGCCCCUACAGCAAUUUCUUCCUCACUGCUCUGGACAUCAGCCCCGUGUGAGUCACCUAGCACCCGACCCUGGCAGGUCCCAAUCCAGGAGGAGGCAAUGACCACACAGCAUGUCAGAUGCUAGGUGGAAAGAGCAAGGUGGAACAAGUGGGGUAGGGGCAGGGCCACAGAGAGAAUGUCGUGGAUGGCUUCCUGGCUGACAGGACGUGAGUGAGUCCUCCUGACUGUUGAAUAAAAGAAGUCCAGUGAAGAAGGUGGUGGAGGAGAUGAACAUGGAUAUGGACGAUGAUGACUGGGCCACGAGGAAGGUCACCAGAGAGCCCAGGAUGAGAUUCAGCCAUAUGCCUAGGGAAAGGUUCCUUCCACCAGUGAAACCUGCACUGGAGGAGACAGAGCAGGAGAGCAGAGGGCUGGGUUGACCCAGAAGUGGGGCUUUUCUGGACAUUAAGGGAGGCUGAUAGGGCAGGAGCAAGGCUGUGAGAAGUCUGGCAGACUAGGAAAUCAUGGAAAGGUUACGAGGGUCAUUUAUGGGUGGCUUCCAGGUAGGUGGCACUUUGGUCCCUGUUUUCUGCCAAUAUCCUCCAUAUUUUCCUCUGAGUAAUUGCCUUUUUCCUAUUUUCAAUCUUUGUCCUUUGGUGGAGUUGACUCCACCAAGGGUGGGGUCUUGGUGCCACUCAGGCACCUUACACUGUGGUGUAAGGAGCUGCCUCUCUCUUCCUCUGUUUGGGGCUGUGGCAUUAGAAUGUGAGUUAUGGGAGCUGCUCUCGCCAUUUGCAACCACAGGGUGUGCACAGGGGUGGCUGGAGGUGAUGCCAUAGAAAGAAUGAAGGUGGAGCUUCCCUUCAGGGCACUCCCUGUCCAGGUAUACAGAACCCAUCAUUGAGAUAUCAAAUAGCUGCAUCAAAACUUGCCUGAAGUGUGUUUGUUCCCCUGUUCUUUUGCCAAAUGGAGCUAGGCAGGCGGCAUACCCCACCCUCCCGGGCUCAGCAAUUGGUCCUCAAGAGCUGGGUGCUUCACUUAAGUUCUUCUUUCAGUGGUUGCCAAGGACAUUGGAAAAGAGAGUUCACAUAUUCUCAAAGGAGAAAGAACUUAAGAACCAUGGGAUCCUGGACCUGCCAGUAGCCAUCUCUGCCUCCUGGACCACGUGAUCCUCGACCUGCCAGUAGCCAUCUCUGGGUCCUGGACCAUGUCAUCCUGGACCCGCUAGUAGUCAUCUCUGCCUUCUGGAUCAUGUGAUCCUGGACCCUCCAGUAGUCAUCUCUACCUCUUGAACCAUGUGAGUCUGAACCCACUAAUAGCCUUCUCUGCUUCCUGAACCAUGUGAUCCUGGACCUGCCAAUAGUUAUCUCUGCCUCCUGGACCAUGUGAUGCUGAAUCCGCAAAUAGUCAUCUCUGCCUCCUGAACCAUGUGAUGCUGGACCUGCCAAUAGUCAUCUCUGCUUCCUGUGGACAGAUCCAGAUGGAUAAUGAAAACUAUGCAGAGGAAAGUUCAGUAGAGUGAGGGAGACCGCGUGAGUCGAUAAACACCCUCUGUGCUUCAGUUAUUUUGAGUUGGGUUUUCUGUUACUUGAAACAAAUCUGUCCAAAUAAUAUGCUUAGACUGGAGCAGUUGUGAAGUCCAGAGUGGGAGGCAGAAUGUGGGUGAUGGGGAGGGAAUAAGGACUUACCUGGGGUUUCAUCAUUGCCUGGAAAGGUUGUGAAUUUGGGUCUUGUUCACUCCCAGGCGUGACUGCUGCGCAGCUCACCAGCCUGGCUGUACAUUGCCAUGCCAGGUACCGCACUGGUGAUUAAGAUUCAGGGGCAGACUCCCACUUUCCAAAUGAGGAUUUUCUCCUCUUUUAUGCAUACUCAUCCACAAACUCCAAAAAAAGUUUCAUCUAUAGAUGUGAAAAUUCAAUCUGAGUAUGGUGCCCAUAUUGAAUCAACACAGCUGGGGUUAAUUAGAAUUUGGAAACAAGAAUGAUUUGUUCUAAUAAUGAUCAUGAUGCUGUCAUUUUCCAAGUGACCAAAAUCUACUAAUUUUAUCUUGAACCAAGGAAUAAAAGGUAUAUUCUAAAUGUAUCCUGCCCCUCAGCUUUGUGAAAAAAUUAAGAUGUACUUAUCUUGAUUAAACAUUGGUUUAUCUUUUGGUAACUAUCUUGAAAUGCAAAUAAAACUUGAUAGAGAGUUAAGCAGCAGCUCUUCAUUCCUCUUUAUUUUAUUUUAUUUUAUUUUAUUUGGGUCAAUCCCUUCUAUUCCUACAUAUAUGAAGAAAACUGGGCU
rnacentral:lncRNA from 1 species